rnacentral:tRNA from 1 species
UUCCUGGUAGCUCAGACGGUAAAGCGUCUGCCUACAAUGCAGGAGACCCAGGUUUCAUCCCUGGGUUGGGAA